UACAAAACCGUAACUACACUCUUUACCUAGAAAGACUCGGCAUACUUUGCAAAUAGUUGGCAUAUUACAGAAAUGUGCUAAAGUAGAUAUAUAUUCGCUUUCUGUAACAAUAAGAAAGGCAAGAAUAUGCAGCUAUAAUAUUUCCCCAGUGAAGAAAAAGGAGAUAAACUGUUUGGAACAGUUUCCUUAAACUUAGAAUCCUGGAUCAUGCAAGGUAUAUUGAAAGUUACUUCUGAAAUAUUACCAGUGCAUGAAUCAACAAUUUUGAUAGUUGAGAGAGGGAUUAGAGUGAUUUGCACAUGGAAAAAAAAAACACAAGAUAAGCCUGACUGCAUUGUAACAAUUUUGAUCUCUUCGUGACAGAAUAGUUUUCAGAUUUUGAACUAACGAUAAUAAACACUGAAGAAGUUGGCCAGGAAGUCAUUUCUCUUCAUGCCACCACCUGUCUAAAAUGGAAGACCCACAGAUUUCUCCCUAGGGUGAUUUCUGUGUAAGUUGACUUUGUUUUAAAUACACUUAAUUGGCUUAUGUUUGCCAAUCAAUAAAGGACAGACAUAUCUUAUUUCACAAGUACACUGUUACAACCAAUAGAACUAUUUUCAAAUAUAUCUUUUAGAUUAAAAUGUUUAAAAGUAUUUUACAAAAAUAAGGUAAAAUAAAUUACAUUUUUAAUGAACAGAUAUAAAAUCCAUGAACCGAACACAUAACAUUGAUACAGAGAAAAUAUAUUAAUCUAAAGGCCAGUUAACUACCACAGUGGCAUGAAGCUUCAAGUAAAUUACUAGGCACUUUUUGCCCAAAUAACAGUCACACAUUCAGUGGAGAAGUCCAGCUGAGAGAAAUGCCUGAAAUUUUCUAAAGUUUUCUAAAAUUCUAAAUUCCCCAUAGAACUGCAAAUAAAAAGGUAACAACAAAAAGGCCAGGUAUUAUGCCAUGCAGAACAGCCGUUGUUAGCUGCCUUUCUUCAGUUCAGCUUUGCAGGAGUUCUAAAAACGGUUUUAACAACUCAGCCCUCAUCAGCUUAUAUGGGCAUUUCUUUUACAGAUUUACACGUCAAAGUAGAGAGGCAAUGCACCUACAGACACACUGCAAAAACAGGUAAGAAGAAAGGCUGUGGGGUUAUAUGUGAGUACAAAAAAGCAGAACAUACUUGAAUUUAGCACUUAUUUGAAGCAACACAUUUGAAAAAGUGCACAGUACUUGCAGAAUACUGAGAAGUCUGCAUUACUUGCAGAAUACUGUGCUCAUUACUGACCAAUUUCUAAUCGUGUGAACAACCCCAGCAUCACAAAGACCCCCAAAAGUUAGAAGCUAAAUCUUUCAGCAAACAAAAAAAGGCCUGUCACGUGGCAAUUUAAGUACCAGUAACGCACACAAACUAUUAUGAUAAAAUAGCUAAAAUAUCUAAAAAAAA